UGGGGAAUAUUGGACAAUGGGCGCAAGCCUGAUCCAGCCAUGCCGCGUGAGUGAUGAAGGCCCUAGGGUUGUAAAGCUCUUUCAGCGAGGAGGAUAAUGACGUUACUCGCAGAAGAAGCCCCGGCUAACUUCGUGCCAGCAGCCGCGGUAAUACGAAGGGGGUCUAGCGUUGUUCGGAAUCACUGGGCGUAAAGCGCACGUAGGCGGACUUUUAAGUCAGGGGUGAAAUCCCGGGGUCUCAACCUCGGAACUGCCUUUGAUACUGGAAGUCUGGAGUCCGAGAGAGGUGAGUGGGAACUCCGAGUGUAGAGGUGAAAUUCGUAGAUAUUCGGAAGACACCAGUGGCGAAGGCGGCUCACUGGCUCGGUACUGACGCUGAGGUGCGAAACGCGUGGGGUAGCAAACAGGAUUAGAUACCC
rnacentral:rRNA from 1 species